GCAGUAGUCAAGUAGUCGAGUAGUCAACAAAAUGUCGAUAUUCAUCGAAAAGGUUGUGAGGGGGAGAUGGCGAUCAAAACGGGAGUAAUUAAGUUGUAGUUUUUCGCAGCAGCAGCAGCAGCAGCAGCAGUUACUGGUCGCACGCACUUUCAAUGCAUUUCAAUUAGUUACAGCCGCAGCCGCACAGCCGCUCCACUUUGACUUUGAGUGCCCGUACUGGAUAUUUUCCAUUUUUAUAGACAGAUGGCAUACACUUGAUAGGCCUGAGCCCACCCAGCAUACAUAAUUCGCAUUAAUUUGCUUGUUAGCCACCGAGACUGCUAAGAUUACCUCAAUUGCACUCUACUCAUUAUGAUUAAUGAUCCCAGUGUACAAGAAUUGUUUGAAAAACGCCUGUGACCCACAAAAGGCGACACAAUUUCUUGUGGCGACUCGAAAUAGAAUUAGCAAAUUGCCCGAAUGUCAAUCAGGCGUCAUCAAUCAAAAUUUGUGCUACUGUCAACUCGAUCACAAUACAAAUAUAAAUAAACGCAGCCCAGCGGUCUGCAGCAGCUGGGUGCAGCACAACAUACAUAUUUAACUGGAGGUUGUAAAUUACCAUAACAAUUCUGAAUUCUGGGGAGCUAUGUGGGUCAACAAUGGAAAAUCCCCUCCCGGCCAAAACCCCAUGAUAUGUCAGCAGAGUUGUUAGCACAGCCGCACAAAGGUUAA